AUUGAACGCUGGCGGCAUGCUUUACACAUGCAAGUCGAACGGCAGCGCGGGCUUCGGCCUGGCGGCGAGUGGCGAACGGGUGAGUAAUGCAUCGGAACGUGCCCAGUAGUGGGGGAUAGCCCGGCGAAAGCCGGAUUAAUACCGCAUACGACCUGAGGGUGAAAGCGGGGGACCGAAAGGCCUCGCGCUAUUGGAGCGGCCGACGUCGGAUUAGCUAGUUGGUGGGGUAAAGGCUUACCAAGGCGACGAUCCGUAGCUGGUCUGAGAGGACGACCAGCCACACUGGGACUGAGACACGGCCCAGACUCCUACGGGAGGCAGCAGUGGGGAAUGUUGGACAAUGGGGGCAACCCUGAUCCAGCCAUGCCGCGUGCGGGAAGAAGGCCUUCGGGUUGUAAACCGCUUUUGUUCGGGAAGAAAUCCUCUGGGCUAAUACCCCGGGGGGAUGACGGUACCGGAAGAAUAAGCACCGGCUAACUACGUG
rnacentral:rRNA from 1 species